GGUCCAGCCAGGAGGCACAGCACCCUGCAACCUCCAGGGGCCUUUGUGCACCACCAGAUGUUGAUGCCCUAGAAGCACGGUGCGGAGCACAUCCUGGGAUCAAGGUGCCACGGACUGGAAAAUGCUGCUGUGGCGGAGUUCCUGUGUGAAGACAAAACUCCCAGUCCCCCAGAAACUGUGGAGGCAGAAGAGCAGUGACAAGGCAUUGUGAUCAACUUAAAAAAGGAAUGCAGGAAGAAUAGCUUUGUUUGCAUUCUGGUAACUGCUGAGGCUUUGGCUGACGACAGCUUUCAGCUGCACCUGAACUAGGCUGGAUUUGUCUCCUGCUCUCCAUAGGCAGAGAAGUGCGUCCAGGCAGUUUGGAGAACUGCUGGCUCAGGCUUCACCUCCACUAAUCCAAGUUCAGUCACGUUCCUCAGAAGAACCUGCAUCAAGCCGUGGUUUUAAGCUGCAGAUGGAGUUCUUCUCGCAGGACUGAAGUGCUGGAGCUCUCUGAGCUCCGAAGGCACCCUGAACUCAUGUGAGUGUGACUGGCUGCUUUGCUUUUGGCAAGAGACCCUUUAGAGCCCCAGAGUGCGCUGUGCAGAGUCUCUAAGGAGAGGACUCCUGAGGCCGAAUUGAUUUGUAUCCCACGGGAGGCUUUUUCUUGGUUGGCAACGUGCUUAAAAAAGAAAGAAAUGCAAAUGGGCAUUUCCACGUGACUGUAUUCUGCUCAGUGCAGUGUCUGCCUGUGUUGCAGAAUGAGCUCCAUGGCACUGCAAAGAAUGCACCAAAGUAAGUAGUGCAGGAAAGCAUUUUUUCCAGUUAGAACGUUGGCCUUCCAAAGCAGGCCUGCCUUGGUUGCACUGGCUUGCAUCUCAGCUGGUGUUCUGUUGUCAGGGUUCCCGUAUUUCUAGCGGUUGGCAGGGAGGUGGCUCAUGCCAUCGUAAGGCCGUGGUGAUGUGACGGUAAGAAUGUCCCAUGUCAAGUAAAAGAUGGCUGUGUGGGACGAGGGGAAGCCAUGGCCUGACAGCUGCCCUUCUGGUCAGCAGUGGGAUUCUGCGGGGUCCAUUAGAAGGCCAUUUCUCUGUAAUGCUUUCACUGUUGGUUCCAUUCAAGAUGUGGCCGUUGUAUGAAGUAAGUUUGUGGUUGGUGUGAAGCUGGGAGGAAUGUUGACUGCCUUGGGGGUUGAGAGGCCUUGCAGCAAGAUGUGGAGAAAUGUGAGGGUGGUCCCCAUCUGCAUGAAGAAGAGCAAGCGCUGCGUUCUGCACCUGGGAUGCGGCAGCCCUGGCUAAUGUCUGUGUGUGGAUGAAUCGCAACAGGAUCCUGGGAACUUUUAAGAAAGGGAGGAAGGAGGACCUGGGGAACUACAGGCCGGUGAGCCUCACCUCUGUGCCUGGGAAGAUCAUGGAGCAGAUCCUCCUAGGAGCUAUGUUAAGGCACACAUGAGACAAAGAGA